rnacentral:rRNA from 1 species
UACGUAGGGUGCAAGCGUUGUCCGGAAUUAUUGGGCGUAAAGAGCUCGUAGGCGGUCUGUCGCGUCUGGUGUGAAAACUCAGGGCUUAACCCUGAGCUUGCAUCGGGUACGGGCAGACUAGAGUGCGGUAGGGGAGACUGGAAUUCCUGGUGUAGCGGUGAAAUGCGCAGAUAUCAGGAGGAACACCGGUGGCGAAGGCGGGUCUCUGGGCCACUACUGACGCUGAGAAGCGAAAGCGUGGGGAGCGAACAGG